rnacentral:rRNA from 1 species
GAUGAACGCUGGCGGCGUGCCUAAUACAUGCAAGUCGAGCGAACAGACGAGGAGCUUGCUCCUUUGACGUUAGCGGCGGACGGGUGAGUAACACGUGGAUAACCUACCUAUAAGACUGGGAUAACUUCGGGAAACCGGAGCUAAUACCGGAUAACAUGUUGAACCGCAUGGUUCAACAGUGAAAGACGGUUUUGCUGUCACUUAUAGAUGGAUCCGCGCCGCGUUAGCUAGUUGGUAAGGUAACGGCUUACCAAGGCAACGAUGCGUAGCCGACCUGGGGGGGUGAUCGGCCACACGGGACCUGAGACACGGUCCAGACUCCUACGGGAGGCAGCAGUAGGGAUUCUGCCGCAAUGGGCGAAAGCCUGACGGAGCAACGCCGCGUGAGGGAAGAAGGUCUUCGGAUCGUAAAACUCUGUUAUUAGGGAAGAACAAAUGUGUAAGUAACUAUGCACGUCUUGACGGUACCAAAUCAGAAAGCCCCGGCUAACUACGU